GGGACAGAGUUAAGUUAAGGACCGAGGCAUGCUUUGUGCGCUUUCAAACCAGAGGGAGAAAGAGAGAGAAGGGAGAGAGUGAGAGCGGAGGAGGCGGAUUGGUGAAGCGAAGCUUUGUUUUCAUGGCGAUUCGAUCCGAGGCGUGAGCACGGAUCGACCGGAGACGAAGCUGGGGGGCCCCUGGCAUUUGGCCUCGCUUGGUCGACUCGAUCGGAGCGUUUAGCCUUUGCGUUCAGGAUUUGCCUUUUCGUCGUCGAGUCUCUCGUCGUUUCUGCAGGUGAUCCGUUGGGAGGUUGCUUGUUGCGGAGGUCCUGCAGAGGCUAAGGCGAAGGCUCCUGUGGCUAGCUUUCUGUGCGAUGGAGUGGCCUGUCUUGGAUGAGUACGAGAAGCUCGUCUUUCGGAUGAAUACUCCGAGGGUCGUGAUCGAUAAUGGCGUUUGCGCCAGUGCCACUAUUGUUAAGGUUGAUAGUGCCAGGAAACAUGGAAUUCUAUUAGAGGCUGUUCAGGUCUUCACGGAUCUGAACCUUUCGAUCAAGAAGGCUUACAUUUCCUGUGAUGGGAGAUGGUUCAUGGAUGUUUUCCAUGUGACCGAUCAAAACGGAAACAAAUUAACCGACGAAAGCGAAAUUAGCUACAUAGAGCAGUCACUUGGCACCAUCUACCAUAGAAGGGCCAACGAUUACAGAGGACUGACAGCACUCGAGCUGACCGGAACUGACCGUGUUGGUCUGCUUUCGGAGGUUUUUGCGGUUCUCGCUGACUUGCAGUGUAAUGUUGUAGAAGCAAAGGUGUGGACUCACAAUGGAAGGAUAGCUUCGCUAAUUUACGUGAAAGACUGUAAUUCCGGUUCCCCCAUUGAGGACUCUCAGCACAUAGAUAGGAUUGAGGCAAGAUUAAAGCAUGUUCUGAAAGGAGAUAACGACAUUAGAAGCGCAAAAACGACGGUAUCAAUGGCAGUGACGCACACUGAGAGAAGAUUGCACCAAAUGAUGUUUGCAGACCGUGAUUAUGAGAGGAAGCCAAUCUUGCAGCUCAGUGCUGAUUCUCCAAUUGUAACUGUACAGAAUUGGACAGAAAGGGGUUACUCUGUAGUGAAUGUUCAGUGUAAAGAUAGGACUAAGCUUUUGUUUGAUGUCGUGUGCACCCUGACGGACAUGGAGUAUGUCGUCUUCCAUGCGACCGUGAACACUACAGGAGACGAGGCAUAUCUGGAAUUCUACAUUAGGCACAUGGAUGGAACCCCAAUUAGUUCCGAACCUGAAAGGCAGCGGGUAGUUCAAUGUCUGCAAGCGUCGGUCGAGAGAAGAGCCUCAGAGGGGGUCAGAUUAGAGUUAUGUGCAGCGGAUAGGGUGGGUCUCUUGGCCGAGGUGACGCGAACAUUCCGAGAAAACGGCCUCAACGUCACGAGGGCGGAAAUAUCCACGACGAUGGAUACGGUGCUCAACAUCUUCUACGUGACCGAUGCGCUGGGAAACCCCGCGGAUCCUAAGAUCAUAGAAGCAGUGAGGCACGGAAUCGGGUUUACCAAUUUGCAAGUCAAGGAACUGCCAUUACUACAUGACGAGAAGGCGGAGCAGGAAGAGGAAGCAGUUGGGGCAGCUGGGGCUGUUCUGUUAUCGCUUGGAAGCCUGGUGAGAAGGAAUCUGUACCAUUUAGGUUUGAUCAGGUCAUAUUCUUGAAGGGAGGAAACAGGGCAUAAAGGGCGAAUUUGGUGGGGGGGAGAGGAGUUUGUCAACUUUGAUUUGGGGGGAAGUUGGGAGUUGGGACAUAUACGGUGUAAAUAGGUGGGGAGGUGGAAUUUGGUGAUGUAGUAUAGUUAAGAGUUGGGUGGGUUGGUUUGAGUUGAUAGAGGCCCCACCCAUAUGUACAGUCGACCGGGACGGACAGCUCCACCAUUUUCAGGACACAAUGGCUUUUUUAAUUUGAAUUCCUCGAGGGUGGGGGACCUAAAAGGGUGGAGGGCUUGUCCCUUUGUAAAUAGCUUGUAAUUGCUGGCAGGAAGGGUUGUUAGAUGCCAGAAUUAUUCGGUACAGUCCAUAGUUUGUACAGUUGCCUACAACAGUUUAGUAUUAUUGGGUUGAUCUC